CCUAGCCUUCUCUGUAACUGCUCCUUUCAUUUGACAUCGCUUGCCCCUAUCUGCAAGCCUGAGCUCCACUCAUUAGUUUUACCUCCUAUAGCUCUGAAUUUUACAGAGUUAUGACUAUACUCCUAAUUUCUCAGAGAUAUUCAUUAGAUCUUUAGUUUCAGCCACUACCAUAGUCAUUCCAAACCCAGCAAUUCAUUCAUGAAAAGCUUGGUGGGUGAAUUCUUACAGUCAGCCAUGAUUUUCAUUAUGAAUAUCUACAAGCUCAAGUAUGGUGCUCAAAAGCACAAGCUGCAGAAGGAAUGUGCAAAAGAUCAGAAAAAUGUGAACAGUAAAGAGCAAACUCAGGUGGCCAUUGUGUGACCCAGGGAGCCCCUCACUACCAACUGGCGGAGGGCACACUACACCAUACCUCACAUCAGGCCUGACACACUCAUUUCUUCAAAACCCUGUUGUCAUAAAUUGGCUAAGAAAGGUAAUACCACAGAGGACAAUGAAAAGUAUAUCUACAUAUAAGGUCAGGGGAGGCUGAUAAGCAGCUUUUUCCAGACAAGGAAAGGGGCUGACACCUCAAGCCGGGUGUGACCAAGAACAGUGGGCUAGUCGUUUAUUUUGGAGAUUGCAGGAAGAUCAUGUACACUGUAACAAUCAAAAGUGGGGAAGAAACCAGCAUGACAUCUAAACCAGGCAGCAAGGAGCCUUCAGCCAGAAGGAGAAAGGAACUGGGGAUACAUUUCAGAAGAUUACAUUUCAAAGCUCUUCAGGACUAUAAGGAGAGGGAAAAAAGAACUCCUACGUUAUCCUUCACCCGAGAAAUCAAAGAAACCAAGCACUUUGAGCUCCGUGUUUUGGGUCCUGGCUAAAGAACAGGCCAGCCAUGCAGCAAACAUGACUGUGGUGACAAAAACUUCUUUGAACAAAAGAUUGUAGUUUGUUAAGUUUUAAUAGCUUAUUUUUUCUUUUAUUUGUUUGUAAUAAUUUCAACUUGCAUUUUUUAUCCUUGGUCGCACUUGGUAACUUUGGUUAAUAAACUUGCUUUAUUUUUACCGUAAA